CUACGGGUGGCAGCAGUGGGGAAUAUUGCACAAUGGGCGCAAGCCUGAUGCAGCCAUGCCGCGUGGAUGAAGAUGGCCUUCGGGUUGUAAAGUACUUUCAGCGGGGAGGAAGGGAGUAAAGUUAAUACCUUUGCUCAUUGACGUUACCCGCAGAAGAAGCACCGGCUAACUCCGUGCCAGCAGCCGCGGUAAUACGGAGGGUGCAAGCGUUAAUCGGAAUUACUGGGCGUAAAGCGCACGCAGGCGGUUUGUUAAGUCAGAUGUGAAAUCCCCGGGCUCAACCUGGGAACUGCAUCUGAUACUGGCAAGCUUGAGUCUCGUAGAGGGGGGUAGAAUUCCAGGUGUAGCGGUGAAAUGCGUAGAGAUCUGGAGGAAUACCGGUGGCGAAGGCGGCCCCCUGGACGAAGACUGACGCUCAGGUGCGAAAGCGUGGGGAGCAAACAGGAUUAGAUACCCCUGUAGUC
rnacentral:rRNA from 1 species